AACCUGGGGGUCUUGUUAACAUGCAGAUUCUGAUUCAGUGGAUCUGGGUCAGGCCUAAGAGUCUGCAUUUCUAACAAGUUCCUAGGGGAUGCUGA
rfam:Otolemur garnettii contig057662, whole genome shotgun sequence.